rnacentral:rRNA from 1 species
CAGGGCCUACGGGGGGCAGCAGUGGGGAAUAUUGCACAAUGGGGGAAACCCUGAUGCAGCGACGCCGCGUGGGUGAAGAAGUACUUCGGUACGUAAAGCCCUAUCAGCAGGGAAGAAAAUGACGGUACCUGACUAAGAAGCCCCGGCUAACUACGUGCCAGCAGCCGCGGUAAUACGUAGGGGGCAAGCGUUAUCCGGAUUUACUGGGUGUAAAGGGAGCGUAGACGGCGGCGCAAGUCCGGAGUGAAAGCCCACGCCCCAACC